UCUUCCAAAAUUUCCUCCAAAAUGGUGUAGUCUAAUGAGAGAACUCGAGGAGAGUAGAUCUAGAUUUCUCUCUCUCCUCCACCACCAGUGAAUAUAUCGGCACCACCGUGCCUCACCUCCACCACCACGGUGUCCACCAGUCUCUGGCGACUCAAACCCAGCUCCCACAUCGUCUGGAGACGCCGGAAAAUGACUCACGUGCCGACGAAGCAAUACCCAGAAUUGCUUUGGACACCCAAACCUUUCUGGGUGUCUGAUGACUUCUCUCUCUUCUGGCACACCCGGUGAACCUAAAUCGCCACCAACGACUCCUCGCUUCUCCAAGUUGUCACCACCACCUCCCAUUACCGUGAAUUUCUUCAACCUGCAAAUUUCAUGGUAUUGGGUUCAUAGAGGAGAGAGAGGAUGGGAGAGAAAGAAAUCGGGAACAAGAACAAGAAAUUCAAUAAACCAAGCGCUAAAUUCUAACCCAAAUUUAGACAAUUUCAUAUAUCAGAGAUGAGUGCCCGACGAAGUCAGAGGAGGAAGAGAAGAGGAAAGCUCCGGCAUGCCUAGAGAGCAACGUCGGUGGUGAUGUCGAUGGAAAUGAGGAGGAGGAAGACGGCGUUGUCGUGUCUGAUUUAUUGGGUUAUUUGUUGUCGCUGGUUUUGAACUCAUAUGGGUUUUCAUGUUUUAGGGGUUUUGUUUGUGUUUGGGAUCUGAGCGAUUGAUUGGAAGAGGCUGUGCAUAUUGAAGUGGGAGAGGUUUGAAGUGGAAGCAAAAAAAAGAGACCGUAGUUGUAGGAAAAAGAACAGGAAAGAUCGCUGCUAGAAGAAGAGGUAUGAGUUUGCAAGGAAGCUUUCAAUAGAAGAAGAGAUGACAAGAAGAAGAAGCAGAAGAGAAUUCAAGCAUCGUUAACAACACCAGCUGUCUCCCCAAUCCGAGCGACAUGAAAGCCACUUCCAACUCCAUAAUUGCCUCUUUUGUCAAAGUGCCAUAGCAAGGUGUCAUCAGCUCCUCUAAUGCUUAAAGGGAUACUAGCAAUAAUUGCAGCCUCAUACGGUGUAUACAAGUCCUCUAACAAUGGAAUAUUCCACUCAUGCUCUUCUUCCAUAAUCAAAUCACACACUUUCAACUCUUCAAGUCCCACAGCUGGUUUGGAAAAUGGUUUGAAGUUGUUAGAUAACGUGCACACACCAUAUCUGCAGAUUGCAAACUGUCUUAAUACUGUUGUUUCCAGCAUUGGGAGAAAGCCUUUGACGGUCUUGCUCCAAGUGAAUACGAGUGGAGAAUAAUGUUUUGAACAAAUAUACCUUAUAAGGAAACUAAUCCUUGGAGAACCAUUCAUGGUCUGUAUAUUUAGGCGAACACUGUUUGCUGCAGCCAAAUCAAGAAGCUUCUGGUGCUGCUUCUAUAAAGGUUGAGAGAGAAGAGGAGAGAUUGAAGAUUUUGGUUGAAGAGGUUGCUGGGUUUUCAAAGAGGGAAUCCAAGAACAAGGUGAAAGUUGCCAAUGAAUUUCAAAUCUUAGGAUAUCAAGUGUUCGGCCCAUAGAAACAUUUAAUGAUGCAUUUAGGAAAUUUCUUGCACACUCAAUGAGAAGACUGCCAAAAGCUCCCAAGGAGGAUUCAGCAGAGGAACGCUCACCCGCCCGAAGCUUUGGAACGGUCCGUGCCAAAACAAGAAAAGGAUAGCUUUGCAUCUGCGUUUGUUUCAACAUUAUCAUUCACAGACACUGCUCACUAGUUUUGCAGUUUUCUAAGGUAGAAUUGCUCUGACAAGGCUUGGAAAUUCGGUUUCUUUCACAGAAGGUUUAUGACAACUUAACAAUGAAAGUGCAUAAGAGUAGAAGCAUUGCUAGGAAGUCAAGUACAGGCCACGUAAUUGGAAUGGAUAUAGACUACAUGCUGAUGAUUUUCUCCUGAUUAAAAUCUCGAAAGAAAAGCUAGGAUUCAAGUGACUACAUCUCAAAUCAGAUUCCAAAGGAGCUGGUAACUACCCCAACUGAUGAAACUGACAUGAUACAAUCAACAGGGGGUCACACCGAAGGAGCUGAUGUAAAUGAGUUGAUUCUAAUUGCAAGUAUAGACAAUUUUUGCUUAGCCUGUGUUUGGCAAAUAUACCCGCAAAGGAGAGAGAGAUGAUGUCUUUAAUGUCUGUAAAUAUGGUAUUAACCAUAUUGAUGAUACACCCGCAGAGUAAACCACAUGGAAAAAGAACUCUGAAGAAAAUCGACAUUAUCAUAAUUGCUGACAGAGUAAGACAAGCUCUUCUUUAAGGGGAAUUGCAGUC